rnacentral:lncRNA from 1 species
CGCCGUCGGGACCUUGGUCAUCAGGCUCAGAAUCACUCCUUGUUUCUCCGCCCAAAGCAGGACUAGGAUGCACAAACCUCAGCGCCUUUCGAACUCUCUUCGGUGUAAAGGAACUCAAGAAAAAGGACCGUUCCUCAGCAGAUCCGUCACCGCAAUAAUGUCCUCAGGAAACGGAGCAAGAGGAUUGAUGAAGGAACGAUCGCUCGGCAACCUCCGGAACAAUGGGAUACAACU